UUCAUUUUAACUUUCAACACUGUUCUACAACGUUGUCAAAUUUUCAAAUGACUCAGGUAAGUGCGAGACUUGGAGGUUAUUUGUGGGUUCAACGCUCGAGUAAACGAGUACAAAAAUAAAUAAUUAAUACGAUGUAAAUUAAUUAACCAGGUUUAAUAAUUGAAUUAUACGUAAUGAAAUUGUAAUAACAUAACCAAACAAAAUAAUAACUCAAAUUAAUCGUAUUUAAGAUUACUGAAGUUCUCGGAUAAGGAAACUUGGACUCUUCAAAAGGAAUCGGUAACAAAGAUUCUUGAUUGGAAUGGAAUAAUUCUUCGGAAUGGUAUACUGGAUUAAUUGGAUCAGGAACCAGUUCAUUUUCUUGUUUAUUAUUAAAGAUUUCAACGUCCAGCUUCAAAAAUAUAUUCAAAUUGGAUUUUCGUCCAAUUCUUUAUCAAAACUCCUAUAUGAUGGAUGGUUUUCGUUCUUGACAUGCUAAGAUUAUCGCUUUCAAUGGUUUCAACCGGACAAACAUGAAUUACAAUAAGAAAUUAAUGAAAAAUGAAAUUUGAGGUUAUGUCACUGUCAAAAUCCUACAAAAUUACUUUGUAUCGACUUUACAUGGAUUAAAUACAAUAAAAAACGUAAACGGUCAACAAUACAUAAUGGAUUCUACAUAUUUACAACAUUUUAUUAAUACAAAAAUAAAUUUCUAUAAUUAUUAUUCGUAACCUCACCACAUGAUUAAUACAAUUAUGUAAAACUUCAAAAAAAUAAUGAACGAUUUGGUUAUAUUGUUACUUAUUGCAAUACAAAAAUGUAGCUUUA